AUGCUUUGCAGAGCUCCAUUCCCCUCACAGUCCAAACUAGAGGAACAUCAGAGAACUCAGCAUCCCAAAAACAAGCCCCUGUCUGCUCCUGCUUUCUUCACCUCCCAGUCAUUAAGAAAUGAGGUAGAAAUGAAAGCAGAUGAUAAUGGAGUGAAUGGACGUUCCAUAGAGAAUGGCAGCCCAGUUCGCUUGGGCAGGAGGCCUUUGAUCAGAUAUACAUGCUCACAAUGUGAUAAGGUCUGCAAAACCUCUGCUGCACUUAACUGCCACCUCAAGCGACAUGAGUUAUGCAGUUCAACCAAGGUUGAAGACACACAGGAAAAGCAAGAUAUGCCAAGGUGCACACCUUCUGCAGUAGAGACUACACCAAGCAAAGGUUUAGACACCAAUUGUGAGCAAGUACAGCCCGUGUCUGUCAUAUAUUACUCCAAAACAGACUGUAAAAUCACUGACAACCAACUGGGUGAGAAGAUGGAAGAACACCAAAGAGUCAGAAAUUGUGAAAGCCCCAAAGUGGCAACCAAUGACAAAGUCCAUAGUCCACUGUGUGCACAGUUUUCCCAAGUUAUGCACAGCCCCACUUUAGAAAGGUUAAAUGUCAUCUCUCCUAACCUCCCUAGUGUACUAGUAAUGAAUGGUGCAGAGUGCCUAGACUACAGGACACCAGAGAAACGGAAUUUAGACACACUAGAUCAGCAGAAAAGAAGCCCAACGCCAGGCGACAGGCAAAUCCAAGUUUCUCAAAUGCUGACAGAGCCUCAGAUUAGAAAAGAAACAACUCCAUCUGGACCCAUAUCACUAAAAGCAGGCAGAGGUUAUGUGUUUAGAGAAGGUGACAAUCUUCCAAAUGAAGAUUUCAGUGAUUUACAAGAUGCUCAGGAUUUAAGACUCUUUCCUCAAUCCAGCAGCCGAGCCCAAGACUUAUCCAUGCCAACAAUACUGGCAAAAAAGAAGGAACUUGUUCAACAGAUUAAACAUCCAUCCAACAUUUCAAAGGAACAGUCUUGUAAUGAGGAGGUGUCGUUGCUAGUACCCAAAGAGGAACCACUCAGUCCUAUACCAUCUCCUACAUUCUCUGUCAUUCAAACCACUCCAAAAGGAUCUUCUAAAAGGUAUUCAAAGUCACCUUGUCACUCUCCAGGACCACUGGACCUACAGUUGCGGCCACAGGUGGAGCAAAGCCAAUUAUACAGAGGAAGGCACAACACUGAAAAACAGGGUCUUAUAUUGCCAGCAAAUUCUGCUGGGAUGAGCGAUACUCCUUCAUCCCACAAUCUUCUACAUCCUCAAGUGCCCAGAGCAGAGCCUGAAUCAAAGGACAACACCUCUGUCACUCCUACAGAACACCACAGAGGCUCGGGCUACCCUGUCCAGGAGCUUACUCUUCCCUUGGUCAUACCUGGAGGGUACUGCUCUGGUAAGAAACAGGAGGAGCAAAUCCUGAUGUCUUACCCUGCUGGACCCCUACCCUUUCCGCCACUUGGGAAGAUGGUACCACACUCUGACUCCACUAAACUGCCCUUUUACCCUGACCCCUAUCACCUACUGUAUGGCCCACAGCUACUGCCAUACCCCUAUAACCUUGCUGCCCUUCCAAUGGCUCUAAAUAUGAUGGCAUCAGGGGACAAAGAUCCCUUACCCUUCUUGCCUUUUUUCAAUUACGCAGCUGCUGCUGCCCCUUUAACAGGCACAGUGCCCCAUCCUUUAGUGGUGAACCCCAGCCUAUACAACAGUGGCGGCAGCAGUAGCACAAAGCAGGACAACCCAUAA
rnacentral:lncRNA from 1 species